CAUCCUACCAUAGACGCAGUAUGUAUUUCCGAGUGUUCACUCUAACGAAGAGAAGAAGAGGUGUGCUGGGAACCUUCCUCCUCUCCUUCCUCUCCCUCCUCCUCCUCUGUCCUACCAGGAAUGGGAUAGGAUCAACCCAGAGGAUUCAGAGGUCCCUAGCCUGGGCCUGGAAGGGCUUGGGCUGAGGACCACACCCUCUGCUGGAAACACAGAAAUAUGUAGCAAGACUCCUGAGCCUUUAUCCAUAGAGGAUGUGUGUCAACGCAACCCUUCAGUGGUGAUAGGUUGUGGAUAUAAGCUUUGGAGGAAUUAUGACGAGGAGACAGCCUAUUGGGUAUCUUCUUUUGACGUGAAGGCCACUAGGCUACAACAAUCACCAAUCACCAAUCACCAAUAACAUGAAUAAGAUAAAAGGAUUAUGAGAUGAUGUAUUAUUUUGAGACCAGUUCACUUUGAGACCAGUUCACUUUGAGACCGUUCACUGAGAGACCCGUUCACUGAGAAACCAGUUCACUGAGAGACCAGUUCACUUUGAGACCAGUUCACUGAGAGACCCGUUCACUGAGAGACCAGUUCACUUUGAGACCAGUUCACUGAGAGACCAGUUCACUUUGAGACCAGUUCACUUUGAGACCAGUUCACUUUGAGACCAGUUCAGUUUGAGACCAGUUCAGUUUGAGACCAGUUCACUGAGAGACCAGUUCACUGAGAGACCAGUUCACUUAGAGACCAGUUCACUGAGAGACCAGUUCACCGAGAGACCAGUUCACCGAGAGACCAAUUCACUGAGAGACCAGUUCACUUAGAGACCAGUUCACUUUGAGACCAGUUCACUUAGAGACCAGUUCACUUUGAGUGUGAACAGAGUAUAGCCUACUAAUCUGGAUUCCUAUUUUGUUUCUCUUUGACUAUAACAACAACAACAACAAAACGAUAUAGUUGUUUUUACAAAUAAAAUGUACUAUUAGCAGUAUGUAUUUUACUUAUAGAAUGUAUCAUCAACAAUAUGAGUAAAGAACUAAAGGCAAAUAAUGAAUAGAAAAGCAAUUCUUUAGCU